AGCUCACUUGGUAGAGCGCUCCACUGGAAAUCGAGAGGUCCCUGGUUCGAUACCAGG
rnacentral:tRNA from 1 species